UAGAGGUCUUCGCCUGGCGCCAGCAGGUCAGGAUUACCACUUUAGCUGCGUUCAAGAGUCGUGGUAUCACCAAGUGUUUGUACCUCUGUACUGUAUUGGAUGUGUGAUGUAGCAAGUAGGUUCCACUUGGGGCGGCAACUCCAAUAGUCUCCCUACUACUUGGCUAAUCGUUUCCCAGAAUGGCAUGAUUAAUCGUGCCUCUUUCUAUUCCGC